GGCUGAUCUGAAGGUAGUGAGUUAUCUCACUUGAUUGUUCACAGUUACAGAUUGAACUCCUUGUUCUACUACUUUACCCCCUUCUCACUACUUGACUAGUCUUAA
rnacentral:Y_RNA from 1 species